GUUGUAUGGUUAAGUGACUAAGCGUACACGGUGGAUGCCUGGGCAGUCAGAGGCGAUGAAGGACGUACUAACUUGCGAUAAGCGCAGAUAAGGCAGUAAGAGCCGUUUGAGUCUGCGAUUUCCGAAUGGGGAAACCCAACUGCAUAAGCAGUUACUGUUAACUGAAUACAUAGGUUAACAGAGCAAACCGGGGGAACUGAAACAUCUAAGUACCCCGAGGAGAAGAAAUCAACCGAGAUUCCGGUAGUAGCGGCGAGCGAACCUGGAUUAGCCCUUAAGCACUCGGUGAAGUAGGUGAACAAGCUGGAAAGCUUGGCGAUACAGGGUGAUAGCCCCGUAACCGACGCUUCAUCGAGCGUGAAAUCGAGUAGGGCGGGACACGUGAUAUCCUGUCUGAAUAUGGGGGGACCAUCCUCCAAGGCUAAAUACUCCUGACUGACCGAUAGUGAACCAGUACCGUGAGGGAAAGGCGAAAAGAACCCCUGUGAGGGGAGUGAAAUAGAACCUGAAACCGUGUACGUACAAGCAGUAGGAGCACCUUCGUGGUGUGACUGCGUACCUUUUGUAUAAUGGGUCAGCGACUUAUAUUCAGUGGCAAGGUUAACCGUAUAGGGGAGCCGUAGCGAAAGCGAGUCUUAACUGGGCGCUCAGUCUCUGGAUAUAGACCCGAAACCGGGUGAUCUAGCCAUGGGCAGGUUGAAGGUUGAGUAACAUCAACUGGAGGACCGAACCGACUAAUGUUGAAAAAUUAGCGGAUGACUUGUGGCUAGGGGUGAAAGGCCAAUCAAACUCGGAGAUAGCUGGUUCUCCCCGAAAGCUAUUUAGGUAGCGCCUCGGACGAAUACUACUGGGGGUAGAGCACUGUUAAGGCUAGGGGGUCAUCCCGACUUACCAACCCUUUGCAAACUCCGAAUACCAGUAAGUACUAUCCGGGAGACACACGGCGGGUGCUAACGUCCGUCGUGGAGAGGGAAACAACCCAGACCGCCAGCUAAGGUCCCAAAGUAUUGCUAAGUGGGAAACGAUGUGGGAAGGCUCAGACAGCUAGGAUGUUGGCUUAGAAGCAGCCAUCAUUUAAAGAAAGCGUAAUAGCUCACUAGUCGAGUCGGCCUGCGCGGAAGAUGUAACGGGGCUAAGCAAUACACCGAAGCUGCGGCAAUAUCUUUUAGAUAUUGGGUAGGGGAGCGUUCUGUAAGCCGUUGAAGGUGAAUCGUAAGGUUUGCUGGAGGUAUCAGAAGUGCGAAUGCUGACAUGAGUAACGACAAAGGGGGUGAAAAACCUCCUCGCCGGAAGACCAAGGGUUCCUGUCCAACGUUAAUCGGGGCAGGGUGAGUCGACCCCUAAGGUGAGGCCGAAAGGCGUAAUCGAUGGGAAACGGGUUAAUAUUCCCGUACUUCUGACUAUUGCGAUGGGGGGACGGAGAAGGCUAGGUGGGCCAGGCGACGGUUGUCCUGGUUCAAGUGCGUAGGCUUGAGAGUUAGGUAAAUCCGGCUCUCUCUAAGGCUGAGACACGACGUCGAGCUGCUACGGCAGUGAAGUCAUUGAUGCCAUGCUUCCAGGAAAAGCCUCUAAGCUUCAGAUAGUCAGGAAUCGUACCCCAAACCGACACAGGUGGUCGGGUAGAGAAUACCAAGGCGCUUGAGAGAACUCGGGUGAAGGAACUAGGCAAAAUGGUACCGUAACUUCGGGAGAAGGUACGCUCUUGAUGGUGAAGUCCCUCGCGGAUGGAGCUGACGAGAGUCGCAGAUACCAGGUGGCUGCAACUGUUUAUUAAAAACACAGCACUGUGCAAAAUCGCAAGAUGACGUAUACGGUGUGACGCCUGCCCGGUGCCGGAAGGUUAAUUGAUGGGGUUAGCGCAAGCGAAGCUCUUGAUCGAAGCCCCGGUAAACGGCGGCCGUAACUAUAACGGUCCUAAGGUAGCGAAAUUCCUUGUCGGGUAAGUUCCGACCUGCACGAAUGGCGUAAUGAUGGCCACGCUGUCUCCACCCGAGACUCAGUGAAAUUGAAAUCGCUGUGAAGAUGCAGUGUACCCGCGGCUAGACGGAAAGACCCCGUGAACCUUUACUACAGCUUGGCACUGAACAUUGAACCUACAUGUGUAGGAUAGGUGGGAGGCUAUGAAGACGUGACGCCAGUUGCGUUGGAGCCGUCCUUGAAAUACCACCCUUGUAUGUUUGAUGUUCUAACUUAGACCCAUUAUCUGGGUUGAGGACAGUGCCUGGUGGGUAGUUUGACUGGGGCGGUCUCCUCCCAAAGAGUAACGGAGGAGCACGAAGGUGGGCUAAUCACGGUUGGACAUCGUGAGGUUAGUGCAAUGGCAUAAGCCCGCUUAACUGCGAGAAUGACGGUUCGAGCAGGUGCGAAAGCAGGUCAUAGUGAUCCGGUGGUUCUGUAUGGAAGGGCCAUCGCUCAACGGAUAAAAGGUACUCCGGGGAUAACAGGCUGAUACCGCCCAAGAGUUCAUAUCGACGGCGGUGUUUGGCACCUCGAUGUCGGCUCAUCACAUCCUGGGGCUGAAGUCGGUCCCAAGGGUAUGGCUGUUCGCCAUUUAAAGUGGUAC
rnacentral:rRNA from 1 species